rnacentral:tmRNA from 1 species
GGGGGCGUAAAGGUUUCGACGGGGAUCUUGAAGCGCGGCAAGCGGGUAGAGCCGGGAUAAUCUCUUUAAACUGUUCCAAUUUUAAAUAUAAACGCUAACGAUAAUUUAGCUCUCGCUGCCUAACGCGGCGCGUCCGCCCGAGGAGUACCACGGCCUCGGCUCGGGCGUCACACAGUGGUGAACAUGAACCGCCAGUCUCCUUUCUAACGGUCAUGCAUAAAAAGGAUACCUCCCCUCGCUUUUGUUUGUUUGGACGAGGGUAGGGAACUCUGCAAAUAAACUGCACCCGGAGAAAACUGCGUGAAUGGAUUUUCGGACACGGGUUCGAUUCCCGUCGCCUCCACCA